CCCAUCUGCAACCUGGUGGUGAGCCAGUCACCAACAGAUGAGUUCUGCUGAGGGUGAGAGCCACGGGCUGAGUGCAUCUGUGGCAGUGACAGCACCAGUGCCACAGCCAUGGCAAGGACCAGCUGAUGUGACCUCUGGGGAGGGCACCUUCCUACAGGCAGAAAAAGAAGGGUGGGAUUGUUGGGAUGGAAAUAUUUUCCACUAAGAAGUGUGAUCCUGCCUGGUAAGACUCCCUUCAUCCAAAUCCUUUCUGGAUUGAAAGUUUCUGGACAGAAAACAGGAUUCAGAGCUGGAGGAAGCAGGAGGGAGGAACUGCUGUACUUCUUGUUGGUUCACCAUGUGUGCAAAUUCCUUUAUCUUCUGGGAAAAUGUGAAGUUUACAUCAUAAACCAGAGGCAUAUGGUAAGUUCUGAGGCCACUUCUGUCACCCCUACAGAAGGAUCAUUUGUCAACCAUGCAGUGUGUUUCCUUUCCAAACUGCCAAUAUGAGGAAAAGUAGGCUUUUGCGUGGUGCUGUGUGUGAUGGCAGGUAGCUGUGGGCAAAGAGUGACUUUUAGCAGACACUUUUCUAAGGAAAGAAAUGUCCAAGGUGUUGUCUAGCAGAGAAUGAUGGCUAAAGGCAAAGGAAAAGGAUACUCAAAGAUGGAAAAACUGUUACUUUGAUGUGCAAUGGUAACAUACGCCAUGUGAGCAAGAAGUUCAAGGUGCCCCUUAUUUAAAGUGUUUAGGACAUGGAGUGAUGCAGGGGUGGAGCACAGAAGGAGACAAAAACCUCUUUGCAUGCUCUCUAAGACUUGAAGACAGCUCUUGAAGGAGCCUCUUGCAGAAAGAGAUUUUAAGGAAAAGAGCAGAGAAGCAACUGUUGUGUGGAUUUGGAUGCAGGCAAAGCUUAAUGUCCGUGAUGAAUAAGGGCAACUCCUUUGACAGGUGACAUGGAAUGAUGUGACUGUCCUGUCACCAUGCUGAGCUGAAAUCUCACAUGAUCUGGCUGAUGUGAUCAAAUAAAUGUUUCUUCCACUUGACUGCAGCUUCUCUGAAAGCAUCAAGCCCCAGGCUGUGGGGUGAAUGUAGAAUUUUGCUCCUUAUUAUUACAGAUUAUUAUAUUUCCUGUGCCAGUCACAGGAGACCUGCCUGAAAAGACAUGCAUCCCCAUGGAGUGGCAGCCAGAACCUGGAUCCCAAAGCAUCCCUGAAAGGGCUGCAUGAUGGUAAGUGCUGGGUCAGUCUGAAACACUUCCAAGCCAUGACUGUUAUUUUUCUCUGCUAAAAGCCAUUAAAAAACUCUGAGGAGUAACACAAAUAACAGGGAUGAAAGCCUGAUCUUUGUCAGAGAUCCAGGCACUUGGCUGCAUUGUAGUUUCAGCAGCGGACAUGUGGCUGACUUAAAAUCAAGGAGGCAAAUAUUAUAGGAGCACUCAAUGCAGCCAUGGAAAACAGGGAUUUAACCCUUUUUCAGCCUAACCAGUUGCAUCUUGGAGUGAACAUUGGCCGUGUAUUUCAUAAAGGAGGAGCUGCUUUUGUUUUUGUUUUAAAAGAACAUUCAGAUCAGCUGAGUUUGAGCCAAUACUGAGAACAGAGCUGCCAAAUUUAUCACUGACCAGAAGAUUUGUAUGGG
rnacentral:lncRNA from 1 species